CGGUAAUCCAGCUCUCCGAGUGGUAGGGACGAUUAUUGGGCUUAAAGCGUCCGUAGCCGGCUUAGCAAGUCUUCCGUUAAAUCCAACGACCUAAUCGUUGAGCUGCGGGAGAUACUGCUAGGCUAGGAGGCGGGAGAGGCCGACGGUAUUCUCGGGGUAGGGGUGAAAUCCUAUAAUCCCGGGAGGACCACCAGUGGCGAAGGCUGUCGGCUAGAACGCGCUCGACGGUGAGGGACGAAAGCUGGGGGAGCGAACCGGAUUAGAUACCCGGGUAGUCCCAGCUGUAAACGAUGCGGGCUAGGUGUUGGGGCGGCUACGAGCCNCUUCAGUGCCGCAGGGAAGCCAUUAAGCCCGCCGCCUGGGGAGUACGGCCGCAAGGCUGAAACUUAAAGGAAUUGGCG
rnacentral:rRNA from 1 species